CAUGUGCCGGCAUCCGGGUACGCAAGCAACCAAUACAACCACGACAUGGUGCAGUCGGCCUUCUCCGACGAGCUUCCACCCCUGCAUCAACAGCAGCACCGCGCUGGCUGUUGAAGCAUCGAGUUCAACAGCGGUGGCAAUGAACCCUUCUACAACAGAAAAUAUCAGGAAGCAGCAGCUCAGUAUACCGAAACUCUGAAAAAGAAUUUGAAUGAGUCUGCACUGCAGGGGAGGGGGAGGAGGCCGGCUACAGGGGGAAGGAGUAGGCCGGUGAGAAGGGCAA